UAAUACGAACUGUGCAAACGUUAUUCGGAAUCACUGGGCUUAAAGGGUGCGUAGGCGGCUUGCUAAGUAGGGUGUGAAAGCCCCCGGCUCAACCGGGGAAUGGCGCCCUAAACUGGCGAGCUGGAGUGAGAUAGGGGUGUGCGGAACUUCCAGUGGAGCGGUGAAAUGUGUUGAUAUUGGAAGGAACGCCUGUGGCGAAAGCGGCACACUGGGUCUCAACUGACGCUGAGGCACGAAAGCCAGGGGAGCAAACGGGAUUAGAUACCCCGGUAGUCCUGGCCGUAAACGAUGAAUACUAGCGGGGAGGAGGCUCGUCCUCUUUCCCACGGAGCAAAAGUGUUAAGUAUUCCGCCUGGGGAGUAUGGUCGCAAGGCUG
rnacentral:rRNA from 1 species